AACAGAGUAAAUAGGCAUUUUAACGUCAUAAAUUUAGCCGGUGGUAAUUUGUGGAAUAGACACUGGCUGGAUUGCGUUUUUAACCAAUCAGCAUUCAGGAUUAGACCCACCCGUUAUAUAAUUCGCAACAAAACUGAAGUGUGCGUAAUUUUGGGGCCAAACAGACGGGUUUGGUUUAGAUUGUUGACAACAUGAGCCCAGAACAAAGAGAGGGUAAGAAUCUAUAAGUUCCUGCUGGAGCACUUUAGACACCUUUAACAUUACCAUCAAGAUCAGCUAGAACAUCCUAGGAAAUGGCAGUUAGUUGCAAAAUAUGAGUUCAAAUGCAUGCUUUGUGGAUGGGGAGCUGCCCCUGGACAGUGGUGGGGCGGCGGUGCCUGGUGAGACCUUUGGGAUACUCAGCCUCAAGGAGAUCAAGCCGUCAGCGCUGAUUGGGGCGGCAGGGGCUGGUGGCGACGAGUAGAUUGCCAUGGCCAAGGUGGACCAGAAGAAGAUAGUUUCAUAGAAGAAAGAUUUGAUCGAUAACAUGAUUCCCAUCAUCAUCAAUCUGAAGAGCAUGCUGAAACAGAAGCGCUGGCCAGUUCUGAAGGACAUCAGUUCUGAAGGACAUCAUGGGCUCCCUCCAGGUAAGGGAGAGAGAGAGAGGACAGCCACCAUCAUGACAAGGAGUCCAUUGUCAAGGAUAACGUCUCUGAUAACGACCUUAGAAAUUAUACU